rnacentral:lncRNA from 1 species
CUUAGAGGAGAAAAAUAGUCACAUGCAGCAGAGAAAACUUUGAUUGUAGUUUUUUCCUUUUCCAAAUUCAAAUUGAUCAACUUCAUUUACAAGCCAUUUUUCAUUUUUAUUUUAGUCAAAAGGAGGCUAAGCAGUAUCACUUAGAAUUAGAAACAACCACACACACAUUCAUCUUGAUAAAUAGUUUAGCUCCUAUUAUAAUUCCAAAGGAAAGGCCACGACUGGAUGAAAAACGGUAUCACAAACAGCCACAGUUGGAGGCAUUGGAGAUGCGUUCAGGUCACAACAAGGAAAAUUACUUCUUGCAUACUCUUCUGUCAGCACCAGUCCAACUAUUGCAUUCAUUGAGCUAUUUGCUAUUCAGCUACAAUUCACUUCAACUGCAAAACAUCAUACAAAAGCAGACAAUCUAGAAAAAAUUGGUGACAAACUGGGGGUUAAUUGUGCAAACAAAAUUUUGUGCUCAAUUUUUUCUUAAAACCCCAAAAUACUCCCACAAGUAUAUUACACUUUGUUUUCUUGUUUACCCCCCACAUUUAGAAAAACUUUAUCUUCGAAACUUAGGGUUUAUGUUGAUUACUAUAAUUGGGUUUAGGGUUCUCAACAUUUUGAUGGGGUUUAGGGGUUUUUAUUACUUUUAGGGUUUAGUGUGAACGAUGUUUAGUUUAUUGUUUCCACAAUAAUGGCUUCAAAUCAAAAAAACAAAAAAUAAGAAACAAAGGGAAGAAAGUGAUGCUUGAUCCAGAGAUUAGACAAAUUCAGUUGCAUCGGGGGAGGGAAAUGGGACCACAUUUACAGAAGGAAGAAGAAGAUGAGAGGAAGAAAAAAAAACAGAAGAAAAUCAAGAUGGUAAGCUUACCUUGUCUUCGGUGCUUGUAAUUGUUGCUUGAAAGUUGAAUUGAAGGUGACGUAGUUUGUUGUUUUCUAUUAGAAAGUAAUAAGCACUGUCAGGAAAGCUUGUUCAUACAAAAUAUAAAUGUUGUCAUUACAAGAACCAGAUUACAAUAUUGAAUCCCAAUCCCAAUAGAUUUCAUAAAUUAAAUACAUGCCAAAAUAACGAAUACCAUACAUUGAAGAAAAUAUCUUGCUAGAUACCGGAAACAAAGUAACUGGCAGUAUAUCAUGAUCUUUAGUAUAUUUUGGACCAUGAAUUAAUGUCAACAACAUACCCAAAAUCUUUCAAGAAUCUAUAUAUACCCCCAAGUGCUGAAGACGUCUAACUAAAUCAUAUAACUCUUAUUCUAAUAUGGUUAAGGGCAAGGUGAAACUUGAAUAUAUUGAUUAAGAUGCGUUAAAAAAGAAGUUGAUUAAACUUACCAGCCUAUGUGAAAUACUACCUACAGAAAGAGAAUGAGUAGUUUCAAAAAGAAGCUGAUUGAACUUACCACCCUAUGCGAAGUGAUUGCAUGUGCUAUCAUCUAUGGUACUUAUGUUCAAGCACCUGAAAUAUGGCCAAAUCAAGCUGAAGCUAGUGCCUAGUCGGCUAGUUGUGUUCUAACUAUGUUCCAGAGGUUCAGUCCUGCAGAGAAACAACAGAACAUGUCAAAUCUAGAAGAUUUCUUCAUAAAGAGGAUUCAAAAACUGAAGAAUGAACUGCAGAAUUUUUUUUUGAAGAAAAGCAACGUUAUGAACUGACAAAUCUUAUGCAUAAAUUCUUGAAAGAGGGACCUGAUGCCUUACGGGUAUUAGUUAUCAAGACUCAAUUGACUAUGAGGGUUUUCUGGACGAAAAGAUCCUAGACAUUCAACAAAUGAUAAGAAAUAAUAAGUAGUUUGUCAUUUGCAAUUGUGUAAUGGUUUUUGUUGAAUAUUGUGGUUUAGGAAAUCUCUAGUUGUCAAACCAUCAUGGAACUUAUUGUGAGGGACAAUUUUUUUCCAAUCUUUGCUCUUUGGAUUCUGCUUUAAAUCUACUGAUGGUUCUUCAAGCUCUAUAUGUUUGUGUUUCACUAUUUAGAUUUAUUGAAAGUGGAAAAUCAAUAUGGAAAAGAUAAGAAAACCAAAAACACUACACGCAACUUGCAUGAAAGAUGGCAAAGAACAAACAAGUUGACAACACACGUUCUGUAUUUUUAGAAUUGUGUAUAGGUAUUUACAUGGAAAUGGCUGAGAAUACCUCUCAAGGAAUACAAAACAAAGUUCAGGAACCCUUUGAAAUAGAUGAGGCUCAUUAUGAAUAAACGGGUCAUAAAAAAUUAUCGAUGUUUUUAUUGUACAAUUGGUCCCUGUCAACAAUAUGAUGAACAACACACAGGCCUCUCCCCUAAUCUGAUCAAACAGCAGAGGCUUCUCAAAAAGAAAAAUCUGAAACAAUCUCAGAGAAGACAAGCUGAUUAGACACCUACAACCACAAGUUAUAUACAUCUUUACACCUAUAGCUGCAAGAGUGCAUGCAAGCCCUUAGACACGAACAGAAUCCAACUCAGAGACACGGCCCACGGGUAAAUCCCAAAAAAGCAGGACAUGACAAUUAAAUAAUAUAUAAAAUUAUUUGAACAUUAGAAAUCAUGGCAUAUACCAUAUAUUCACAAUUCAUUAUGAUUACGUAAUUCAAAUAUACAAAGUAAGCCAUAAUUUCAUAAAAGAGAGACCAUUGUGAAUGAAAUAUUGUUGAAAAGAUUUUAUUGUCUCAUAAGUUUGGACUUCUGAUCAGAGCCAUAUCUAAAACAGUUUCCAGUCGCAUCCUAGCAAUGUCAAACUUAAGUAGCACGUGGGACAUGCACGUGCCGUGUGGACAGUCAAAGCCAUGUCUACGUCCAUAGUGUCCGACCAACCAAAUCUGACACAGUGAAAUUCUGGAAGUGUCUGUGCUUCCUAGUUAUUAACUAUUAAGAGAAACUCAACACAUAGUCAUCAAGAGGAAAUAUUGAUUUUGGAGAAGGAAAGGUUUUGUAUCGUGGAGAUAUGGAUUAUUAAAACAGAGAAUACAAAGAUUUUGAGUUUUUAAUAAAAUAGCAAAUACCAGAAUUUUAAACUUCACUCCCUACUCGUUACAUGGGUUAGACAAAAAAAAUCAGUAAAAUUGAAUUUUCGAUAACUAUUGGUGAGACCCAUGAUUUUAAUUUCAAAUGUUCACAUUUGAGCAAGGGGUACACAACCACACAUACAUAGUUCAAAAUCUGCGAGGCUUAAACAAAAAAUUGCAACAUACCCAAAAAGACACUAGAACUUAGACCUUUUGCCAGAUUUAUGUUCAGUGAUUACAAAAUAAAAAAAAUGUGGAUUACUAAGUCACGAUAAUUUUCUAUUAGUCACAAUGGAUUAUAGUAAUAGCUCUUACCAAAACAAAAAUGUAUAAAACUAAAUCAACAUAGUUUUUACUAAUUUGAAAUUAGUCACCGUGAAUAUAUACUAUUAAUCUAAUAGAUGACACCGCUAUAAGUUGAUGACAAAUUUGCAAAAAUUAUUGGGUUGGAUGAAAGAAACAACAACUUUAUUGGCAUAACAUCACUAAUAUUUACAAUAAUUUUAACUGUGGAUGAUCCCAUAAAGCCAUGUAGAAGUGAAUAUGGCUAUAGUAAAUAUUAAACUGCUCCACACUUUGAACAAAUUGAGAACCUUUUUUUUUUUUUUUUUGGUUGAACCAAAUUGAGAAUCUAUCAUAUUGGAAGGAUCGUAAGAAGAGUACCCUACCACCUAGCUCACUCUAUACCCCUACCCCCUCCCCCCAACCCCCCACCCCCCACCCCCCCCCAAAAAAAGAGAUAAUCCAAGAGGCAUACCCCAUACAUAAAAAGAGAAUUAAUUCCUACCAAAACUGAAUUGUAGAUUACUAUAAACGAUACAUUUCUUUUGGUCACUAUUGAAUUUUACCAAUUAACAAACAAUACCAUAUUUCGCAAAAACUGUGUAUGUGUCCAAGUUUACAAUUAAUUCUCAGAAACAUGAUUUGCCUACUAAAUUUGGUGACAAACUUCCAUAUAGAUUUGUGUCAGAGGGGCCCAAAACAAACUUAUUGGUAGCAGCAUAUCGCCGAUUAUUAUGAUAUUUUGGACCGUGCAUCAUCUAUAUAUACCCCCCAAGUGUUGGAGACAAACUAUCAUUUUACUACUACUAGUCACACAGGUUUUCAACAAUGCCUAAGGGUAAGUUGAGGGAUGAAUACAUUCUUGAUAAUGAUUCGAGUGCAACCAUCAAGAUAGGAAUGCGCCUUGAAUGCCUUGAAAAAAAGGCAGCCAAACUCAAUCUGGAAGGACAAAAGCUACUUGAAGAAAUACAAAAUCUGAAUAUGAAGGAAAUCCUGGAUAAGCUCAUUCAGGAGGGACCACAAGCAAUCAACUCUCUUAGUGCUGAAGACGCCUUCGCCUUUAGAGCUUAUCAAAAUAAUAAGAAGAAAGAAAUUCAAGAACGAAAGCGCGCCGUUAAAAAGACUAAUUGAUUUAUCAUCACCAUGUUUUCGAGUCUUAGGCUAUCUUGUUGCCUAUAUAAUAAAUAUAUUGUAGUCGUCUUCAUCAGCUUCAAUGUUUGAGUCUAUUGUAAAACAAUUUGUCCCAAUUGUCAACAACUGAGACUGAUUGUAAUACAUGCUUUUUAUGUUUUCUAAAUAUUUGCUUCAAAACUAUGAAUUAUGCUUGGAUUGUUUUUCUUUUUUCUUCUGUAUACUAAUUUUUUGAAAUCAGAAAUUGAAUAUUGUAAAAGUCAGAUAAUAAUGAUUACCUCAAAUUCUCUGAAAACCACCAGAUUUUACUGCUAUCUAUGAUGUUAAUCGCUCAAAUCUGGGAAGAAAAAAACACAUGAGUUAAGCAAAAGCAUCAACGACAUGAUAAUAAAAAAAAAGAUGAUUCGUUCUUACGUUUGAUUACUUCUACAUCUCUUCAGUUCUUCUUCUUAGUCGCUGCAAUACCAUUAAAAUCUGCAACUUAUUCAACUGUCUGAAACUCUAGUCAUUGCGGCUGCGUCGUGGUGGUAGCCAUCGUCGGAGUUUUAUCAAAUUGGGCAAGGCAAUUGCAUUACCAUGAGACCUGCAAGAGACAAAAUUACCCUCACCCAUUAUUUACCAGAUCACCACAAUUUGGGGCGAUUAUGUCCAUUCUCACUAUAUUGCUUUUGUAAUUUGUACUUGGUCACAGAAAUAUGGUAACAAAUUUCUAACCAUAUGGUUGGUAGAAUUAAUUUGUGUUUAAUCACUUUCUUAGAAAGUAUGAAGCUAGAAACUAUAAUAUGGUAACAUCUUUCUUACCUUACGGUAGAAUUAAUUUGUGUUUAAUCACUUUCUUAAACAGCAUGAACCUAGAAAUUCUAAUAGGGAAACUAAAUUCUUACCUUAAUUUAUGUUUUAUCUCUUUCUUAAAUAACAUGAAGUUGGACGCUAGCAAAAAAUCUCUUAACAUUAUGUACUAAGUACAAUACUAAGUAGUACUAGUAACUUCACUCUUGAAAGGCACCAAAUUAUGAGAUAAGUAAGCACUGAAGAGUAAAGAGAAACAUCAUCCCUAACUUUGAGAUUUUAAUGGCCAUUUCAGACUUCAACAAUUAAUCGGCAGCAGUAUAUCACCGAUUACUACGAUAUUUUGGACCGUGCAGCAUCUAUAGUCAUCCCAAGGUUUGUAAGUGUUGGAGACAAACUAUCAUCUUACUACUACUAGUCACACAGCUCUUCAACAAUGCCCAAGCGUAAGUUCAGGGUUGAAUACAUUCUUGCUAAUGGUUCAAGCAGUGCAACCUUCAAGGAAAGAAUGAACCUUGAAGAAUGCCUUGAGCAAAAGCUACAAGAAGAUAUACAAAAUCUGAAAGUGAAGGAAAUCCUGGAUAAGCUCAUUCAGGAGGGACUAGAAGCAAUCAAUUCUCUUAGUGCUGAAGAGGCCUUCACCUUUAGAACUUUUAGGGAUAAUAAGCAGAAAGAAAUUCAAGAACGGAAUCAGCGUCCUAAGAUUGAUUAAUUCAUCAAUCACCAUUUUUCAUGUGUAAUUCCCGUUAUACCUUUCGAGUCAUAGGCUAUCUCGUUGCCUAUAUAAUAAAUAAAUUGUAGUCGUCUUCAUCGGCAUCAAUAUUUGAGUCUAUGUAAAAAAAAAUUGGUUUGCCAUCACCAAUUUUUUAUGUGUUUUUUCCUUUUCAAAGUUUCGAGUCUUAUUAGUCUUUCUAAUUGCCAAAAUAAUAAAUUCUAGUCAUUUCGUGUUCAUCAUCAGCAUCAAUGUUUGAAUCUAUUGUAAAACAAUUUGUCCCAAUUGUCAACAACUGAGACCGAUUGCAUUUUAUGCUUGAAUUGUUGUUAUUUUUUUUCUUUUUCCUUCUUUAUACUACUUGUUUGAAAUCAGAAAUUGAAUAUUGUAAAUGAAAGAGAGUUGUAGUGAAUACCUCAAAUUCUCCGAAACCACUACAUUUUACUGCUAUUUAUGUUGUUCAAUUGCUCAAAUCUAGGAAAAAAAAAAAACUCAUGAGUUUAUAAGCAAAACCGCAAAAGCAUCAACGACAUGAAUGAUAAUCAAACAACAGUCAAUAGAUGAUUAGAUCUUACGUUUGAUUACUUCUACCUUCUCUUCUUCUUCUUCUUUUUUGUCUGCAUUUCCAUUAAAAUCUGCAACUGUCUGAAUCUCCGGUCGUUGCGGCUGCGUGGUGGUGGUAGUGAUCGCCGGAGUUUUAGAUUAGGGUUACAGAAAACACAACAAUAAUCAUGGGCUGAUAAUUAGUU